GACUAAGCGUACACGGUGGAUGCCCUGGCAGUCAGAGGCGAUGAAGGACGUGCUAAUCUGCGAUAAGCGUCGGUAAGGUGAUAUGAACCGUUAUAACCGGCGAUUUCCGAAUGGGGAAACCCAGUGUGUUUCGACACACUAUCAUUAACUGAAUCCAUAGGUUAAUGAGGCGAACCGGGGGAACUGAAACAUCUAAGUACCCCGAGGAAAAGAAAUCAACCGAGAUUCCCCCAGUAGCGGCGAGCGAACGGGGAGCAGCCCAGAGCCUGAAUCAGUGUGUGUGUUAGUGGAAGCGUCUGGAAAGGCGCGCGAUACAGGGUGACAGCCCCGUACACAAAAAUGCACAUGCUGUGAGCUCGAUGAGUAGGGCGGGACACGUGGUAUCCUGUCUGAAUAUGGGGGGACCAUCCUCCAAGGCUAAAUACUCCUGACUGACCGAUAGUGAACCAGUACCGUGAGGGAAAGGCGAAAAGAACCCCGGCGAGGGGAGUGAAAAAGAACCUGAAACCGUGUACGUACAAGCAGUGGGAGCACGCUUAGGCGUGUGACUGCGUACCUUUUGUAUAAUGGGUCAGCGACUUAUAUUCUGUAGCAAGGUUAACCGAAUAGGGGAGCCGAAGGGAAACCGAGUCUUAACUGGGCGUUAAGUUGCAGGGUAUAGACCCGAAACCCGGUGAUCUAGCCAUGGGCAGGUUGAAGGUUGGGUAACACUAACUGGAGGACCGAACCGACUAAUGUUGAAAAAUUAGCGGAUGACUUGUGGCUGGGGGUGAAAGGCCAAUCAAACCGGGAGAUAGCUGGUUCUCCCCGAAAGCUAUUUAGGUAGCGCCUCGUGAAUUCAUCUCCGGGGGUAGAGCACUGUUUCGGCAAGGGGGUCAUCCCGACUUACCAACCCGAUGCAAACUGCGAAUACCGGAGAAUGUUAUCACGGGAGACACACGGCGGGUGCUAACGUCCGUCGUGAAGAGGGAAACAACCCAGACCGCCAGCUAAGGUCCCAAAGUCAUGGUUAAGUGGGAAACGAUGUGGGAAGGCCCAGACAGCCAGGAUGUUGGCUUAGAAGCAGCCAUCAUUUAAAGAAAGCGUAAUAGCUCACUGGUCGAGUCGGCCUGCGCGGAAGAUGUAACGGGGCUAAACCAUGCACCGAAGCUGCGGCAGCGACGCUUAUGCGUUGUUGGGUAGGGGAGCGUUCUGUAAGCCUGUGAAGGUGUGCUGUGAGGCAUGCUGGAGGUAUCAGAAGUGCGAAUGCUGACAUAAGUAACGAUAAAGCGGGUGAAAAGCCCGCUCGCCGGAAGACCAAGGGUUCCUGUCCAACGUUAAUCGGGGCAGGGUGAGUCGACCCCUAAGGCGAGGCCGAAAGGCGUAGUCGAUGGGAAACAGGUUAAUAUUCCUGUACUUGGUGUUACUGCGAAGGGGGGACGGAGAAGGCUAUGUUGGCCGGGCGACGGUUGUCCCGGUUUAAGCGUGUAGGCUGGUUUUCCAGGCAAAUCCGGAAAAUCAAGGCUGAGGCGUGAUGACGAGGCACUACGGUGCUGAAGCAACAAAUGCCCUGCUUCCAGGAAAAGCCUCUAAGCAUCAGGUAACAUCAAAUCGUACCCCAAACCGACACAGGUGGUCAGGUAGAGAAUACCAAGGCGCUUGAGAGAACUCGGGUGAAGGAACUAGGCAAAAUGGUGCCGUAACUUCGGGAGAAGGCACGCUGAUACGUAGGUGAAGUCCCUCGCGGAUGGAGCUGAAAUCAGUCGAAGAUACCAGCUGGCUGCAACUGUUUAUUAAAAACACAGCACUGUGCAAACACGAAAGUGGACGUAUACGGUGUGACGCCUGCCCGGUGCCGGAAGGUUAAUUGAUGGGGUCAGCGCAAGCGAAGCUCUUGAUCGAAGCCCCGGUAAACGGCGGCCGUAACUAUAACGGUCCUAAGGUAGCGAAAUUCCUUGUCGGGUAAGUUCCGACCUGCACGAAUGGCGUAAUGAUGGCCAGGCUGUCUCCACCCGAGACUCAGUGAAAUUGAACUCGCUGUGAAGAUGCAGUGUACCCGCGGCAAGACGGAAAGACCCCGUGAACCUUUACUAUAGCUUGACACUGAACAUUGAGCCUUGAUGUGUAGGAUAGGUGGGAGGCUUUGAAGUGUGGACGCCAGUCUGCAUGGAGCCGACCUUGAAAUACCACCCUUUAAUGUUUGAUGUUCUAACGUUGACCCGUGAUCCGGGUUGCGGACAGUGUCUGGUGGGUAGUUUGACUGGGGCGGUCUCCUCCUAAAGAGUAACGGAGGAGCACGAAGGUUGGCUAAUCCUGGUCGGACAUCAGGAGGUUAGUGCAAUGGCAUAAGCCAGCUUGACUGCGAGCGUGACGGCGCGAGCAGGUGCGAAAGCAGGUCAUAGUGAUCCGGUGGUUCUGAAUGGAAGGGCCAUCGCUCAACGGAUAAAAGGUACUCCGGGGAUAACAGGCUGAUACCGCCCAAGAGUUCAUAUCGACGGCGGUGUUUGGCACCUCGAUGUCGGCUCAUCACAUCCUGGGGCUGAAGUAGGUCCCAAGGGUAUGGCUGUUCGCCAUUUAAAGUGGUACGCGAGCUGGGUUUAGAACGUCGUGAGACAGUUCGGUCCCUAUCUGCCGUGGGCGCUGGAGAACUGAGGGGGGCUGCUCCUAGUACGAGAGGACCGGAGUGGACGCAUCACUGGUGUUCGGGUUGUCAUGCCAAUGGCACUGCCCGGUAGCUAAAUGCGGAAGAGAUAAGUGCUGAAAGCAUCUAAGCACGAAACUUGCCCCGAGAUGAGUUCUCCCUGACUCCUUGAGAGUCCUGAAGGAACGUUGAAGACGACGACGUUGAUAGGCCGGGUGUGUAAGCGCAGCGAUGCGUUGAGCUAACCGGUACUAAUGAACCGUGAGG
rnacentral:rRNA from 1 species